rnacentral:rRNA from 1 species
AUUGCCCUACGGGGCGCAGCAGUGGGGGAUAUUGCACAAUGGGGGGAACCCUGAUGCAGCGACGCCGCGUGGGUGAAGAAGCGCCUCGGCGCGUAAAGCCCUGUCAGCAGGGAAGAAAAUGACGGUACCUGAAGAAGAAGCCCCGGCUAACUACGUGCCAGCAGCCGCGGUAAUACGUAGGGGGCAAGCGUUAUCCGGAUUUACUGGGUGUAAAGGGGGCGCAGACGGCGAUGCAAGCCAGGAGUGAAAGCCCGGGUCCCAACCCCGGUACUGCUCUUGGAACUGCGUGGCUGUAGUGCAGGGGG